CUGGGCGUGGCCUCGCGGGAAGUCGAUGGGGCGUGGUCUGGGCGUGGCCUCACGGGAGGUCGACGGCGACGGGGCUUGGGCGAGACGUCGCGUGAGGUCGAAGGAGGCUGCUCUGGGCGUGGCCUAGAGGCGAGGUCGAUGGCGGCGGGGCUUGGGCGUGACCUCGCGGGAGGUAGAUGGAGGCGUGCUCUGGGCGUGGCCUAGAGAGGAGGAAGAUGCCGGCGGGGCUUGGGCGUGACCUCCCGGGAGGUAGAUGGAGGCGUGCUCUGGGCGUGGCCUCGCGGAGGCGGAACUCUGGCCGCGGUAUUUCCGGAGCCGCGAUGCUCACGCCGCCGGCUCCAGGCUCGCGUCUGCGGCCUUCCGGCUCCCGGCGUGGACGCCAAGGUGCAGUUCCCGGUUAUCGGGAAUCUGCUAUACAAACGCGUGGUGCUGGCCACCGCCUCUCUACGCCGCCAGGAGGUCCUCAGCAACGCGGACACACUCCCUGUUACCCUCCUGAGACAGACGUACUCUCUGUUCUUCCUCUGUGCAGUACACAUGUCCUUUGUUUCUCCUGUGUAGGACACACUUUCUGUUACCUUCCUGAGACAGAGGUACUUACUGUUCUCCCUCUGUUCAGGACACACUUCCUGUGUUUCUCCUGUGCAGGACACACUUCCCGUUCCUCUACCGAGACAGACCUACUUCCUGUUGUUCCUCUAUGCAGGACACACUUCCUGUGUUUCUCAUGUGCAGGACACACUUCCUGUUGCUCCCCUGAGACAGAGGUACUUCCCAUUCUUCCUCUGUGCAGGACACACUUCCUGUGUUUCUCCUGUGCAAGACACACUUCCUGUUACUCUCCUGAGACAGAUCAACUUUCUGUUCUUCCUCUGUGCAGGACACAUUUCCUGAGUUUCUUCAGUGCAGGACACACUUUCUCUUGCUCUCCUCACUGCAACCUAAUUCUUUUUCUUUCUCUGUGCAAGAUACACUUGCUGUGUUUCUUUUGUGCAGGACACACUUCUUGUCACUCUCCUGAGACAGACGUACUUCCUAUUCUUCCUCUGUGCAGGACACACUUCCUGUGUUUUAUCUUUGCAGGAUAUACUUCCUUUUGUUCUCCAGAGACAGACCUACUUCCUGUUCUUCCUCUGUGCAAGACACAUUUCCUGAGUUUCUCUUGUGCAGAAAACAAUUCCUGUUGCUCUCCUGAGACAGACCUACUUCCUGUUUUUCCUCUGUGCGGGACACACUUUCUAUGUUUCUCCUGUGUAGGACACACUUUUUUGUUGCUCUCCUGAGACAGACAUAAUUUGUGUUCUUCUGCUGUGCAGGACACACUUCCUUUGUUACUCCUUUGCAGGACACACCUCCGAUUUUUCUCCUGAGACAGACGUACUUCCUGUUUUUCCUCCAUGCAGGACACACUUCCUGUGUUUCACCUGUGCAGGACACAUUUCCUGUUGCUCUCCUGAGACAGACAUACUUCCUGUUCUUCCUAUGUACAAGACAAACUUCCUGUGUUUCUCCUGUGCAGGGCACACUACCUGUUCUGCUCCUGAGACAGACUUGCUUCCUGUUCUUCCUCUGUGCAGGACACACUUUCUGUGUUUUUUUUCUGUGCAGGACAUGCUUCCCGUUGCUCUCCUGAGACAGACCUACUUCGUGUACUUUUUCUGUGCAGGACACACUUCCUGUGUUUCUCCUGUGCAGGACACACUUCCCAUUGCUCUCCUGAGAGAUACGUACUUACUGUUCUUUCUCUGUGCAAGGCACACUUUCUGAGUUUCUCACAUGCAGGACAUUCUUCCUGUUGCUCUCCUGAGAUAGAUGCAUCUCCUGUUCUUCCUCUGUGCAUGACACACUUCCUGUGUUUCUCCUGUGCAGGACACACUUCCUGUCACUCUACCAAGAGAGGUACUUUCUUUUCUUCCUCUAUGCAGGACACACUUCCUGUGUUUCUCCUAUGCAGGACACACUUCCUAUUGCUCUGAGAUGGACUUACUUAGUGUUCUUCCUGUUUGAAGGACACACUUCCUCUGUUUUUUCUGUGCAGGACAUACUUUCUGUUGCUAUCCUCACACAGACCUACUUCCUGUAUUGCUCUGUGCAGGACACACUUCCUGUGUUUCUCCUGUGCAGGACAAACAUCCUGUUGCUCUGCUGAGACAGACCUACUUCCUGUUCUUCCUCUGUGCAGGACACACUUCCUUUGUUUCUCCUAUCCGGACAACUUCCUGUUACUCUCCUGAGGGAGACUUGCUUUCUGUUCUUCCUCUGUGCAAGACACACUUCCUGUUU
rnacentral:lncRNA from 13 species